rnacentral:rRNA from 1 species
AGUAGUUUGUAUCCUGGCUACGAGGACGACGCUGCGGCGUGCUUAACACAUGCAAGUCGAACGCGUCGUGCCCCUUCGGGGGUAGUCACGAGUGGCGAACGGGUGAGUAACACGUGAGCAACCUGCCCUUGACACUGGAAUAACAGCUGGAACAGCUGCUAAUACCGGAUACGACCUCAACAGACAUCUGUAGAGGUGGAAAGCUCCGGCGGUCAGGGGUGGGCUCGCGGCCUAUCAGCUUGUUGGUGAGGUAACGGCUCACCAAGGCUUCGACGGGUAGCCGGCCUGAGAGGGCGACCGGCCACACUGGGACUGAGAUACGGCCCAGACUCCUACGGGAGGCGGCAGUGGGGAAUAUUGCACAAUGGGCGCAAGCCUGAUGCAGCAACGCCGCGUGCGGGAUGACGGCCUUCGGGUUGUAAACCGCUUUCAGCUCCGACGAAGCGAAAGUGACGGUAGGAGCAGAAGAAGGACCGGCCAACUACGUG